rnacentral:lncRNA from 1 species
AUGAGUCUCUGUCCGGGGUCUAGGAUGGGGAAAAGGGCCCUGAGACCUGAAAGUACCCUGGCAGUUCUCAUCAGCCUGGUUGGAGCAGGAGGCUGCCAGGCAGCUAGUGUGCCCAAACUGUGUCUCAGCCCCUCCACAAUCGGGCCCCUUCCAGCCCAGGCUGGGCUCCUGAGGGAGGAUGAUGAACUUGGCAGCAGCCGGUGCAAGGGCACCAGCAGCGGAGGUGGUGUCCCACAGCCUCCUGGGAUGCAUUGGGUGGGGUGGCGCCCCCUGUGGUGUGGCAUGUGGAGUGGGCUGACUCUGGUCACCUCUGGGACAGGGAUCCACCUCAGCUCAACAGAUGCAAAUACAACAAAUGACACUUGGAGUGGAGCUCAGGGAUCUUCAUGCCCCUGCCUCAAGAGCUGCCACCCUGUUCAUGGGAAAAAGCCAUUUGAAUUUUGAACUGUGUUUUAAGAACCAUACAUAUUCCUCAAGUCAAGGACAGGAUCUCAAUGAACAACUAAGUGAGCAUUGAAGAAAACCUUGUAAGUCCUUGAGCAGAGCAGGAGGAACACCGUGACACCAAGCCGAAAGCAUUGAGGAACUCGUGGAUGUGCACGAGCAAACUCACAGUGUAGAUUCCCAGUGUUUUCAACAAAUGAGGAAUUAAAUGUUUCUAGUUAAUCCAGAAUAACCUGAAUUUAUGUUGCCUGGUGUUUUUUUCUACUGUGGCCUCAAACUUUGGGCUUACUGCUUAGAACAGAAUAAUUACUUAGGAACUGUUUAAUCUUAUUUUUUAGUUAGUAAAAAAAUCCAUUGAGUUUUCAGCACUGUUCUGGGUGCUGGCAAUAGAGUAGCAACAAAGGCAUAAAAUUGUGGUCAAGAAGACUAUAUUCUAAUGAAGGGGCAAAUUACAUGUCAUUAAAUCAAUAAACAGAAUUACCUUCUCUUAGU